rnacentral:rRNA from 1 species
UAAUACGUAGGGUGCGAGCGUUAAUCGGAAUUACUGGGCGUAAAGCGUGCGCAGGCGGUUCGCUGUGUCCGAUGUGAAAGCCCCGGGCUUAACCUGGGAAUGGCAUUGGAAACUGGCGGGCUUGAGUGUGGCAGAGGGGGGUGGAAUUCCGCGUGUAGCAGUGAAAUGCGUGGAGAUGCGGAGGAACACCGAUGGCGAAGGCAGCCCCCUGGGCUAACACUGACGCUCAGGCACGAAAGCGUGGGGAGCAAACAG